GAAGAUUUACAGGCUCCAAAUGUCUUGGCACCUCUUGUGGUCCAACAUUCGCUGUGCUUGGCAUGCACCACACAUGCACCAAGUCUGCAGUUGGAACCUCUGAGGGAUCAAUUGAUCCCUUGAGUGGAUUUGAACCAUGUAAUCCUCCAUCAUUCCAUCCAUAUGCUGUCCCUCCACCGGCAACACCUUCAACUGGUGGCACAAUAACAUCUUGAGGAGUUCCUCCAGCGUUAUCCAUUUCGAGGCGGUGCUUGAAAUUACAAAGAUCUCGAUGUUCCCUCCGCUGUCGUCUGGUUUUAGGCCGAGGUAAGAGAGCAAAGAGUUUCCUGACAGAGAAGAUCGCUUUUGGAGAGUGGAG
rnacentral:misc_RNA from 1 species